GACGAACGCUGGCGGCGUGCUUAACACAUGCAAGUCGAACGAAGUGGAGAACGGGUGAGUAACGCGUAAUCAACCUGCCCUUCAGAGGGGAACAACAGUUGGAAACGACUGCUAAUACCGCAUACUGAAGGAGGGGAUUGCGUCUGAUUGGCUAGGUGGAGGGGUAACGGCCCACCAAGGCGAUGAUCAGUAGCCGUUCUGAGAGGAUGAACGGCCACAUUGGGACUGAGACACGGCCCAGACUCCUACGGGAGGCAGCAGUGGGGAAUCUUCCGCAAUGGACGAAAGUCUGACGGAGCAACGCCGCGUGAGUGAUGACGGCCUUCGGGUUGUAAAGCUCUUUUGGCAGGAAAGCGGUACCUGCAGAAUAAGCACCGGCUAACUACGUGCCAGCAGCCGCGGUAAUAC
rnacentral:rRNA from 1 species